CCUGGUGGCUCAGACAGUAGAGAAUCUGCCUGCAAUGCAGGAGACCCAGGUUCGAUCCCUGGGUCAGGA
rnacentral:tRNA from 1 species